rnacentral:ncRNA from 1 species
UCACUAACACAGGGGAGCCAUCUGGCUGAGAAAAGUUCUUACUUUAACCCUUUGAACCUGAUCUGGAUAAUACCAGCGGAGGGAGAUGUGCAUUUUAAAAGU